rnacentral:rRNA from 1 species
GAUGAACGCUGGCGGCGUGCCUAAUACAUGCAAGUCGAGCGAACAGAUGAGGAGUUUGCUCCUCUGACGUUAGCGGCGGACGGGUGAGUAACACGUGGAUAACCUACCUAUAAGACUGGGAUAACUUCGGGAAACCGGAGCUAAGACCGGAUAAUAUAUUGAACCGCAGGGUUCAAUAGUGAAGGACGGUUUUGCUGUCACUUAUAGAUGGAUCCGCGCCGCAUUAGCUAGUUGGUACGGUAACGGCUUACCAAGGCAACGAUGCGUAGCCGACCUGAGAGGGUGGUCGGCCAGACUGGAACUGAGACACGGUCCAGACUCCUACGGGAGGCAGCAGUCGGGAAUCGUCCGCAGUGGGCGAAAGCCUGACGGAGCAGCGCCGCGUGAGUGACGAAGGUGUUCGGAUCGUAAAGCUCUGUUAUUAGGGAAGAACAAAUGUGUAAGUCACUGUGCACGUCGUGACGGUACCUAAACAGAAAGCCACGGCUAACUACGUG